rnacentral:lncRNA from 1 species
CAUGUAUUAUUUGUCUUUCGUUGAUUUACAGUUAAAUUAUGAAACUGAAAGGUAAAUGUAAACAAAAAAUUAUUUAAUUAAGUGAAUGAAUGAAUUGUAGCCUUACUGGAUAACAUAAGAGAUGGUGAACGGAUCGGAUACAUAGAGAACCCCACCGUGAAUGUCACUUUAUACCAUACGAGGUAUCGAGGAUUGGUAUUUU